rnacentral:rRNA from 1 species
ACCUCUCGGGGUUACAGCCUUGCUGAAUUAUUCACCCUUGUCUUUUGCGUACUUCUUGUUUCCUUGGUGGGUUCGCCCACCACUAGGACAAACAUAAACCUUUUGUAAUUGCAAUCAGCGUCAGUAACAAAUUAAUAAUUACAACUUUCAACAACGGAUCUCUUGGUUCUGGCAUCGAUGAAGAACGCAGCGAAAUGCGAUAAGUAGUGUGAAUUGCAGAAUUCAGUGAAUCAUCGAAUCUUUGAACGCACAUUGCGCCCUUUGGUAUUCCAAAGGGCAUGCCUGUUCGAGCGUCAUUUGUACCCUCAAGCUUUGCUUGGUGUUGGGCGUCUUGUCUCUAGCUUUGCUGGAGACUCGCCUUAAAGUAAUUGGCAGCCGGCCUACUGGUUUCGGAGCGCAGCACAAGUCGCACUCUCUAUCAGCAAAGGUCUAGCAUCCAUUAAGCCUUUUUUUCAACUUU